UAAUACGGAGGAUGCAAGCGUUAUCCGGAUUUAUUGGGUUUAAAGGGUGCGUAGGCGGGAGAUUAAGUCAGUGGUGAAAUCCUGCAGCUUAACUGCAGAACUGCCAUUGAUACUGGUUUCCUUGAGUACAGUUGAGGUGGGCGGAAUGUGUAGUGUAGCGGUGAAAUGCUUAGAUAUUACACAGAACACCAAUUGCGUAGGCAGCUCACUAAACUGUUACUGACGCUGAGGCACGAAAGCGUGGGGAGCAAACAGGAUUAGAUACCCUGGUAGUCCACGCUGUAAACGAUGAUCACUCGUUGUUGGCGAUAUACAGUCAGCGACUAAGCGAAAGCAUUAAGUGAUCCACCUGGGGAGUACGAUCGCAAGAUUG
rnacentral:rRNA from 1 species